rnacentral:sRNA from 1 species
GCUGGGUGUAGUGGCUGGUGCCUGUAAUCCCAGCUACUUGGGAGGCUGAGGCAGGAGAAUCGCUUGAACCUGGGAGGCAGAGGUUGCAGUGAGCCGAGAUCCAGCCACUGCAUUCCAGCCCAGGUGACAGAGUGAGACUCUGUCUCAA